AACGAACGCUGGCGGCAGGCUUAACACAUGCAAGUCGAACGCAUCGCAAGAUGAGUGGCAGACGGGUGAGUAACGCGUGGGAACAUACCCUUUUCUACGGAAUAGCUCUGGGAAACUGGAAUUAAUACCGUAUACGCCCUACGGGGGAAAGAUUUAUCGGGGAAGGAUUGGCCCGCGUUGGAUUAGCUAGUUGGUGGGGUAAAGGCCUACCAAGGCGACGAUCCAUAGCUGGGCUGAGAGGAUGAUCAGCCACAUUGGGACUGAGACACGGCCCAAACUCCUACGGGAGGCAGCGGUGGGGAAUAUUGGACAAUGGGCGCAAGCCUGAUCCAGCCAUGCCGCGUGAGUGAUGAAGGCCUUAGGGUUGUAAAGCUCUUUCACCGAUGAAGAUAAUGACGGUAGUCGGAGAAGAAGCCCCGGCUAACUUCGUGUCAGCCGCCGCAGUAAGAC
rnacentral:rRNA from 1 species